GAUGAACGCUGGCGGCGUGCCUAACACAUGCAAGUCGAGCGAGGACUUCGGUCCUAGCGGCGGACGGGUGAGUAACGCGUGGGUAAUCUGCCUCAUACACACGGAUAACGUACCGAAAGGUACGCUAAUACGAGAUAAAGUUAAGAAAUGGCAUCAUUUCUUAAUCAAAGAAUUUCGGUAUGAGAUGAGCCCGCGUCCCAUUAGCUAGUUGGUAAGGUAAAGCUUACCAAGGCGACGAUGGGUAGCCGACCUGAGAGGGUGAUCGGCCACACUGGAACUGAGACACGGUCCAGACUCCUACGGGAGGCAG
rnacentral:rRNA from 1 species